CCUAUCCCGUCAUUCUCAGCGGAGAGCAGUAGAGUGGGACUCCUAAGGGUGUUCUAGAGGGGCAGGAACAGGCCAAGGCCAAUGAUGUCGGAAAAGAAACAACCCGUAGAUCUGGGGCUUCUGGAAGAAGACGACGAGUUCGAGGAGUUUCCUGCCGAAGACUGGGCUGGUUUAGAUGAAGAUGAAGAUGCACAUGUGUGGGAAGAUAAUUGGGAUGAUGAUAAUGUAGAAGACGAUUUCUCUAACCAGUUAAGAGCGGAAUUGGAAAAGCAUUGCUACAAGAUGGAAACGACAUAGCUUCUAAUGCUGAUGUUUUAAUGCUGCUAAUACAAAGUGUAACAAGAGAUGGGCUUUUCAUCGCAAAUAAAAAUCCAGAUUAUACUCAGA